rnacentral:misc_RNA from 1 species
AACUGAUACUACCUGCGGGAACCUGCGGAGGGAUCAUUAGUGAACGCCCUCGCGGGCUUAUAACUAUUCCAAACCUCUGUGAACCGUGCCCUUCGGGGCUAUUUUACAAACAUGGUGUAAUGAACGUCAUAUAUCAUAACAAAACAAAACUUUCAGCAAUGGAUCUCU